rnacentral:SRP_RNA from 1 species
GCCAGGCGCAGUAGCAUGUGCCUGUAGCCCCAGCUACUUGGGAGGCUGAGGUGAGAGGAUCACUUGAGCCCAGGAGUUCUGGGCUAUAGUGUGCUAUGCUGACCAGGUGUCCACACUAAGUUCGGCAUCAAUAUGGUGACCUCCCAGGAGAGGGGGACCACCAAGAUGCCUAAGGAGGGGUGAACUGGCCCAGGUCGGAAAUGGAGCAGGUCAAAACUCCCGUGCUGAUCAGUAGUGGGAUGGUGCCUGUGAAUAGCCACUGCACUCUAGUCUGGGCAACACAGGAAGAUCCCAUCUCU